AAUGAAAUAGUCAUGUUGAUUGUGGAAAUUUUCUUCCAUAAUUGGUUGAAAUUAUCUUCAGAGAGAAAUUGGAGGCUUAUUGGUGUAUUUUCGCAAGAACUGUCAGCAUCUGCUUCUUUUAGAGAGGUUUACAAAUCAAUAUUUGAAUAAAGUGAAUAAAUAAAUAGAUAAAUAUCUAAAUAUUGAAAAAUUAAUCGAUGAUGAUAUUUCUACCAUCAUUUCAACAACUAUUCAUAUUUUUAUGGCUAAUAAUUCACGAAUUAUUCUCAACAAAUGCUGUUCCAUCUCCUGAAACUGUAGGAGGAUUACUCGGAAAACCAUGUCACGGCAGCUUUGAUUGCGAAAUCGACCAAUGGUGCUACGACAACCAAUGCGACCUGCCCUGUCCCAGAUUGCACUGUGCCGAGAUCAAGCCACCAGAUGGCGUUUGUGUCGUCAGAGACCACCAACCAAUCUGCAAAAGCCCAGCUGAGCUGGAGUUCGAGCAACAAGUACGAGAAAGCGGAGGCUGCGUUAAUAGUGAUGAUUGCGGGGAAAAUGAAUGGUGCAUGUACGCAGUUUGUGAGGACGCAUGCGCAAAGCUCAACUGCGCAGCUGAACAAGCGUUUCGACUGUAGAGUCCAAAAUCAUCAUCCCAAAUGCUAUUCGAAAGUGAUUGAGGCUGGAGAAAUUCCAGACGUAUAAGAUGUUGCUGUUGUAGGAGGAUACUGCAAGAGUAGUUUCCAAUGUGAGAGCCACUUGAACUGCCUGAAAAACAAGUGUGAAGACCCAUGUGAAUCACUGGGGUGCUCCAUAUUCAAACUGGAUGAGCCACCAGAAGACUUCACGGAGAUACAGAAACUCUGGUUUCAAUUCAACAAGAAUGUCAACUGGCGGUGUCUGGUGUGGAUGCAUAUUGCCGAGUGCGUCCUAAGAGACAGUUCCGUCACUAGCGGCUUCCUCGAAGUUGAUUCACGCUGAUUCACGUUGAUUCACGCUGAUUCACGUUUAUUCACGCUGAUUCACGCUGAUUCACGCUGAUUCACGUUGAUUGACUUUGAUUGACGUUGAUUCACAUUGAUUCACGCUGAUUCACGCUGAUUCACGUUGAUUCACGUUUAUUCACGCUGAUUCACGUUGAUAGUGUAUUCCAAAUUAAGGUUUAGAGCAGUUUUGGGCGAAUGCCUGUUGUUUUUACCUGGAUUGUAUUAUUUUGUAUGUGAAUAAAUAAAUGAAUGAAUAAAUAAAAC